rnacentral:rRNA from 1 species
UACGUAGGGGGCUAGCGUUAUCCGGAAUUACUGGGCGUAAAGGGUGCGUAGGUGGUUUCUUAAGUCAGAGGUGAAAGGCUACGGCUCAACCGUAGUAAGCCUUUGAAACUGGGAAACUUGAGUGCAGGAGAGGAGAGUGGAAUUCCUAGUGUAGCGGUGAAAUGCGUAGAUAUUAGGAGGAACACCAGUUGCGAAGGCGGCUCUCUGGACUGUAACUGACACUGAGGCACGAAAGCCAGGGGAGCAAACGGGAUUAGAUACCCGUGUAGUCCCUGAGCGGG